CCUACGGGAGGCAGCAGUGGGGAAUAUUGGACAAUGGGCGCAAGCCUGAUCCAGCAAUGCCGCGUGUGUGAAGAAGGUCUUCGGAUUGUAAAGCACUUUCGGCGGGGACGAUGAUGACGGUACCCGCAGAAGAAGCCCCGGCUAACUUCGUGCCAGCAGCCGCGGUAAUACGAAGGGGGCUAGCGUUGCUCGGAAUGACUGGGCGUAAAGGGCGCGUAGGCGGAGUGUACAGUCAGACGUGAAAUUCCUGGGCUUAACCUGGGGACUGCGUUUGAGACGUGCAUUCUUGAGUGAGGAAGAGGGUUGUGGAAUUCCCAGUGUAGAGGUGAAAUUCGUAGAUAUUGGGAAGAACACCGGUGGCGAAGGCGGCGACCUGGUCCUUUACUGACGCUGAGGCGCGAAAGCGUGGGGAGCAAACAGGAUUAGAUACCCUGGUAGUC
rnacentral:rRNA from 1 species